UACGGAGGGGGCUAGCGUUGUUCGGAAUUACUGGGCGUAAAGCGCACGUAGGCGGCUUUGUAAGUUAGAGGUGAAAGCCCGGGGCUCAACCCCGGAAUUGCCUUUAAGACUGCAUCGCUAGAAUUGUGGAGAGGUAAGUGGAAUUCCGAGUGUAGAGGUGAAAUUCGUAGAUAUUCGGAAGAACACCAGUGGCGAAGGCGACUUACUGGACACAUUAUUGACGCUGAGGUGCGAAAGCGUGGGGAGCAAACAGG
rnacentral:rRNA from 1 species